rnacentral:rRNA from 1 species
UACGGAGGGUGCAGGCGUUAUCCGGAUUCCCUGGGUUUAAAGGGUGCGUAGGUGGGUUGGUAAGUCAGUGGUGAAAUCUCCAGGCUUAACUUGGAAACUGCCAUUGAUACUAUCAAUCUUGAAUACCGUGGAGGUCAGCGGAAUAUGUCAUGUAGCGGUGAAAUGCUUAGAUAUGACAUAGAACACCAAUUGCGAAGGCAGCUGGCUACACGAAUAUUGACACUGAUGCACGAAAGCGUGGGGAUCAAACAGG